rnacentral:RNase_P_RNA from 1 species
UAAGCAGGACGGAUGAUCGCGCCGGCAGGACCCUCCGGGGACCCCGGAAAGGCUGGCGGCGAGGAAAGUCCGGGCUUCACAGGGCAGGAUGCCGGAUAACGUCCGGUGGAGGUGACUCUAAAGGAAAGUGCAACAGAAAGCAAACCGCCAUUUGCCCUUCGGGGCAAAUUGGUAAGGGUGAAAGGGCGGUGUAAGAGACCACCGCGCGCAUGGUAACAUGGGCGGCAUUGCAAACCCCAUCCGAAGCAAGACCAAAAGGAGGGCCAGGAACUUGCCCGGUUCGUCCUCAGGUAGGUCGCUAGAGGCUGUCGGCAACGGCGGUCCCAGAUAGAUGAUCAUCCGGGAGGCAACUCCCGACAGAACCCGGCUUACAGUUCUGCUUACUGU